CUCAAGGGGAUGCUUCAAGGCCUGACACUAUUAUUGAUGCUAUGAUGUACUUACAUACAGAAGCCUUGCAUUGCUGUCCUCUAAGAGGUCCUCCAACAACCAGCAGAUUCUCACACCCAACCAAUGGACUGAAGUCGGGGAGUGGUUGAAUUAGGGAAAAGCUGGAAGAAGUUGCUGAAGAGGGUGAUCCCAUAGGAACACCAGCAGUCUCAACAAACCUGGACCCCCAAUGACCUCUCAGACACUGACCCACCAACCAGGAAGUACCUGAGGCCCCUGACACAUAUACAACAGAGGACUGCCUGGUCUGGCCUCAGUGAAAGAAGAUGCACCUAACUCUUUAAAAACUUGAGACCCCAGAGAAUUGGGAGGCCUGGCGGUACUUACCUGUCAAAUUGGCCAUCAGCUCAGCUGUGAUUCCUGAUGAAAACGCUACUAUAUCAGAACUGUAAGACACACUUCAGCUCAUUAUGAUUAUAAUUCACUACUUAUCUGCAAGCAUGAGAACAAUAAGAAGAUAUCUGUAGCAUUGUAGAACCAUUUUAAAAUCCAGGAAGUGUGGAUGUCUUGCUGUGAUGACUUGGCUUAUUUGCUGAGGUAGCCAGCUGCUCUAAAAGCCUAUGGAGAGAACCAUGCUAGAUGGAACAGGAAACCUCUCACCGGAAGCCACCUGAGUGAGCUUGGAAGCUGUUGCUGCUCCCCACAGCUGACAGCUGGACUGCGGCUCAUGAUACACCAUGAGCCAGUGCUACCCAGUGAGGCUGCUGGAGUUGCUAACAGAGACAAUAUGAGAUGAUAAAUGCUUGCUGCUUUAGCCCUAAGUCUGGAGAUAAAUUGUUAAGCAGAAUAUAUGGGAAGUAUAAUCACCAAAUAAAUCUAUAUAUAUAUGCUU